GACGAACGCUGGCGGCGUGCUUAACACAUGCAAGUCGAACGGAAAGGCCCUGCUUUUGUGGGGUGCUCGAGUGGCGAACGGGUGAGUAACACGUGAGUAACCUGCCCUUGACUUUGUGAUAACUUCAGGAAAAUGGGGCUAAUACCGGAUAUGAGCUCCUGCUGCAUGGUGGGGGAUGGAAAGUUUCGGCGGUUGGGGAUGGACUCGCGGCUUAUCAGCUUGUUGGGGAGGUAGUGGCGUACCAGGGCUUUGACGGGUAGCCGGCCUGAGAGGGUGACCGGCCACAAUGGGACUGAGGUACGGCCCAGACUCCUACGGGAGGCAGCAGUGGAGAACAUGGCACAAUGGGCGGAAGCCUGAUGCAGCAACGCCGCGUGCGGGAUGCCGGCCUUCGGGUUGUAAACCGCUUUCGACGGUGACGAAGCGUGAGUGACGGUAAUGGGUAAAGAAGCACCGGCUAACUACGUG
rnacentral:rRNA from 1 species